AAAAUAAAACUGCAAGUGAGGUGCUGAAUAUAAUUCCCAGGCUAGUUAAAGUGACAAGUUUGCUGAAUCAGGGGUUAACUAGAGACUUGUCUAUUUUAGGUCAUAUUCUUCUGUCAAACAAAGGGUAUCCUGAGGCUUGUUUAUCUAUAUUGCUCUUUAUAUAUUUCUCUGAACGCAAUUAAAUCAGCCAACUUUGUCAUAUUUUAUUUUUUAGUGGAGGAAUAAAACACAUUAUUUAUGAACAUUUCAAGCAAUUACAGAUUAUGAGCAAGGAGGUUUAAAGGCCAUAGAUUUUGAAUCUCUUCUUGAGAUGUUUAGGGUUAAAUUUAGUACUGUUAAAUCUCUAUUACUACUGAUCUAUUACGAUUACUGUGGUACUAAUCCACAGUCUCUGUGGUAUCAUAUACACAACAAAAUUCUUGAAAUGCCUCGAAUUCCUUGCUAAGUGUGACUAUUAACUUUCAUAAAUCCCUUUAAAAUUAUCACAGUUCCAGGACACUCAAGAUAAUGUGAGGUCUAGAUGGGAGAUGCUUGGAAAGCAGAUUGUGACAUCUGGGUUUUGUGAUGGUAAGAGGCAUUGAAAGACAAAGGGUGUGUCUCAAAACCUAGUGAGCUCUCUACAUAGACAGCAUUUUACGUCACAAUAUGCGCGCUCCCGACAAGAAGGCUGUCCCAGUUCUUAGAUAUCUCAAACAUGCUGCCUACUGAGGUCUCUCAUUUUGGCCCAAUAUCCAGAGAGCAUCGGAUGUUUCCUCAGCCGCUGAGGCAAUCCCGCGAUGCAGCGCGGCGCAACUUUUGUUUGAAGAUGGCGGGCAGAAGCGCUUCACCAAGCUGCGACGUCAUCUUCAAAUAGAGAAGUCAAGGAGUCCCAUCUCCUGCAGACAUGAAUGCAGAAUAUCAUCACAUAGAGUGUGAUGACAGUGUAUUUUCAGUAGCCAUGUUCCCUAUUGCUCCUGAAAAUCAGGUCGUCAACAGUCAAGUGGUUCAAAUUGCCUCAGAGAACCCAAACAUGAGUAUACUGAAGAGCUUACAUCAUCUACAUCAUUAAGUGACCCUUAUUAGUCCCACAACAGGGAAAUUUCACCUCCGCAAUCUAACCCAUCCAUGCAGUGAAACACCACAUACACACUAGUGAUGCCAGAGUGUUUGUUCUUCUGCUACUACAGAUUGUUGCUCUGUCAACAAACACAUUCAUUGUAUGGCACAGGAAAUGGCAAGCUAAAAGAAACAUUCCGGAUGAAGAAAUAGCACCUGUAUAGAACACUGAGAAAGUGCUGUGGCCACAGAUUGUUGGGGGAACUGUUGGGGAAAUCGCUACAUUCUUUGGGUUUUUGAUAUCCCUGGAAAAGAGAUUCAAAUGUAUGACUCUGGAACCUUUAGUUACACAAUGAUUACAUGGAAAUGCUAAGAUGGCUGAGUUGGAUGUAAGGGCUGCCAAAAUAUCAGAAUAAACUCUUCAUUAUGGAAAGAUUUGCCGUUUACGUUUGCCUUGUGUCUGGUGAGGAGUGUGGCUUCUGAGGACUUCCAUCACGUCUAGAGAGAAAAGAUGACCAAGGUGCUAUAGCAGAUAACAGUUGCAUUGCCUGAGACAUCUAUGCUUGCGUUUUCCAGAAGACAGGAAAAAAAUGGGCACAGUAUAUAUUUUAAAGAUUUGUGUUAAACAUGUAGUUCCUUGUAUAGUCUAAUAUUGUUGCAAAGUUAUUUGUUUGUAUAUCAUUGUGUUUUGUAGAACCAUACAUUCCCACAUUAAAACAGUGCAGCAGAUCCAGUGUGAUUACUGUGACAUGAUCGAACAGUGACUGUGCAAGGAUUGAUGUAUCCACACUGGACAAAGAUGCACAAUUUAGCUGUGGAUGCCAUCUCCCAGUGCCAUACCCAUAUGAAAGGUAGAACCACUUAUCUAGAUUCCUCAUAUAAUGGAGAAUAAUAGAUAACUGACAGAAAUAGUGUCAAAUAAUUUUUCUUAAUUUGUAGUACACAUGAAGCAUUGUGGAAAGGCCUGGUUGCAGACUUGAUAGAGGAUGGGGAAAUUCUGGUAUAAGAAUAUGUUUUAAUGCUUAACAUUUGAAGUUAUAAUGUUUAACAUUCUAACAGCUGCCUAUGGUGAUCUGUGCAUUUCUAAAAACAAAUUUCUAUAGAAACUGAGAGAUAAUCUUCUAUCUGGGACCUUGA